ensembl:lncRNA
GGGUUGGGGACCUGUUACAUAUACAAAGGUUUUCCUCAUAGUUUCAUUCUAGAUUUCAGCCUUCAGUGUUUCAGGGACCUGUGACAGCCAAAGCAGGAGGAAAAAAAAACCCAACAGGAAAGCAGCAAAAUGAAGCAUUCAUAAAUUCAGAAAAGCCAGAUGUAAAGUUGCUAACAAGGAGAAGAAAUGGGUGCACAGAUGAUACCGUCCCCCUGUCCUACAGUGCCACAGUUGUUCGUAACAGCCUGCGCAAGAAAGACCAGCUCAGCUGAUGUGCAAAUCAGAAGCAGUUGCACAUACAAGAGCAGCAAGGGGAUCACAGAGCAUGCUCAUCGCUUGAAAGCAUGAGCUGCCAAACACUGGUAAAUUUCAGUCUGUUUUUCGGUGGGUUUUCCUGAAGUUUAUAACUUGACCAUAUUUACAUAGGUUUUUGGUUUUCAUGUUGAUGGGCCAAGUGUUAUCUUCGAGCACAGAGCAAUUGUUCUGUCAAACAUUAUAUUCCUAUUUUAAGAAAAUAUAUUUUCAAGGUUUUUCUUUAGAACGAAGAAGUUUGUUUCUCCCCCCUCCCUCACUUGAGCAAAAAGAUGCCUUCUUCACUUGGGAAUUGAACUGUUCUAGCUGAAACUUCAAAGGAAACUAUUUUGAAGCAGAUGUUCUGCAAUGGAAAAUUUCACAUUGAGCCAUUUCAGUGGUAGCUUUAAAAGCAAUAGUAAAGCAAAGGCUUUUGUGCAAGGGGAAAAAAAAAAGUUAGAUGCUAUUGCACUGGCUGCACUUUAAUGACAUGGACUGAUGGGGCUUUCUAGGGAACUGCAUUCAAAUAUCUUUCCUUUUGCCCAAAUCCUGAUGUUGGCCCAUAUAGAGGGUUGACACAAAAAAUCCUCCACUUCCUGAAGAUUCACCACAUUCAGAUGAAGACAAUCUUGCUAUUGCCUGUGAAUACAGGAAAAACAGAGGUCUCAUUCAUCCUCAGCUCCUGUUAGGCACCAGAGGAUGACAAGAAGACCGAAAGGCUCUAUUCCCAGCUCAGCUGUGGUUCAGUGACCACUGGCAGGUCCCAUGAAAGCAGUGUGCCUGAGCAUGUCCCCCCAUCAGCAGCUUGCAGCUCUGCUCCAUCCUGUCAUCUCUGCUUGGGAAAUCAUGGUGACUUUGCUUCCUCAGCAGUAUUAAAAGCUCCACAGAGACUGUAACUUCAAUGGUUCAAGUCAGCAAAUCCCAGUGUUCCUCUGGCUUCACAAACACGUGGCUGAUUGAAGCAGAAAAUGGAAUUAAGAACUUUCCAUACAUAGAGAAUAUUUAAUAUGCAUAUUUAUAUAAAUAUAUUUUUUAUUAUAGGAAAAAAAUGAAGGACACAGGCAUUUGAGACAAGCUGAAGAUGUUUCUUGCAUUUUAUUGCCUCUGACUGCUUGAAUCAAACCAUUUAGACUAACAUUAUUCUUUCCAAUAUAUUUAUGAGUAUGCUACUGUCAUGACUCAUUUAUGACACAGGAAGCCUGUGAAGGCCACGUGUGUCAGAGCCUUUCACUGGUUGGUUCCCUGCUGUCUGACCCAAAGAAACGUCCAACAGCCGUUAUAUUCUUUGUCUUUAUUCUCAUGGAAACAGAAAGUGGAUUUGAGGUGAAACAUCUGGUUUGUUUUGGGAUGUUACAGGAGUAAGUGGCAUCCAGCUUGAAAUACUAACAUGCUCGUACAUCAUCUGGCUGUUGCUUCAGAUCCUCCUGAGCAUCUUGCCCAGAAGUGACCUCCAGAAUGCCUAUGUGCUAGUACAGAUUAAAUGUUCAGACAAAACGUGUGAGCAACAGAGGAGACUGUGCUGUAUGAAGCUGUUCUCCAAGGACAUUCUUCCACUUGUCCCUUCCACAAGAUCUGAAGAAACAUCUGGACAAGGAUUCAUCACGUGACUUUAAAUAUGCUGAUAUUUGACUUCAGUGACAUGUUCUGAUGUCCCUUCAAAAUGAAGCACCUACCAAAUGAGGAUUUAAUUUAGAUUUAUGAGUGUGUUUAUCGUCUAUUAAUGAAGUACUACAUAAUAACUCAAACCACAUUUAUUGAGGCUGUUGUGAUUAUGUAACGGGGUAUUAUGUUUCUAAUAAUUAGCUGGCACCAUUCAAUUACAUAUGAAUUAAAGCAGUUGCUGAGUUUACUGAGGAGCCAGGAGUUGUUCUUAGCAUGAUUUUGGUGUUGGCAACUUCGUGCUCAGGAGGUGAGGUUUUAUGCUAGGUGACAGCUGCCCAUACUUUUGCCUUAUGUCUUCAUACUUGGCAUGUAAAGGUCAUCCUGAAAAUGGGAGACCAAGAAAUCUGGAUAUCAGGGAUUCAGGAAUAGGGAGGUGGGGACACAGUCCCAGCUUAAUGCAGCAGGAAGUCAGGUGGGCCAGCAUGUGUCUUCUGAAUUUAGUCUCUUGUUUCAUGUAGGACUGCAGGUGGAAACCCUAUUCCAUAGCCCAGGAGAAUCUCUUAACCACUUGGUCAGCAUCCCCCCUGUGGUGAGGGAGUCUGUUUUUACAAAAGAAAUCCAAACCUUUGAAAGAUCUUUUCAUCAUAAUGUAGAAAAGGAACAUUUAUGAAAUCUCAAUUUCAUGGGGUGGGAAAAUUGUUUCCCUCUUUGCUCUAGAGCAGAUUGAUAAAAGGCUCAUGAUAGCAAUUGAACGCUGGGGAAAUUUUUGAUCUGUGCAGCUGUACAUAAUCCGUAUUAUUUUUACAAGUCACUGGAGGCAUUUAGUAGGGUCAACAUGGUAAGAAAUCUGGACGUGAAAGUGAAACAAAGUGUCUGUCAGAGGGGCCAGAUUUUAAUUGGAAACUAAAUUUAAUUUUAGAGAAAGAGGAAAAUACCACACUUCUAAUGAGAUCCAGGGCACUUCAGAGAGCAGCCUGCAAAGAAUAUUUAAAUAGAAAAGUCCUGUUCAGAAAGACCUGUAGUAAAUGGCUCGGUACUGUAGGUUGAUAAGUACACAUGAGCUCAUGCCUCACAAAUGAGAAACCAUAUAUGAAACAUACUGAUGCCUUAAAGUCAGAUUUUGAGUCUAAUCCUAACUUUGACCAGGAAACAUUCAGUGUCACUUUUUGGAGUUGUUCAAAUAAGUUGAGAAGUGUUUUAUUCUAUAAAAUGUUUGGAAGGGUUGUUGUUGUUUCUUUUGUUUUUUUUUUUUUUAAUGUGAAAGUAGCAAACAAUAAUUAGAAAAUUUCACCUAAAAGAGAUGCUUUUAACUAAAAAACAAAUUAAUGAGGUGGUGCGGAGGACUGUUGUUUUGUUUUUGCUUUUGUGGGGGUUUUUUUGGUUUUUUUUGUUGUUGUUG